rnacentral:rRNA from 1 species
UGUCCGGAAUUAUUGGGCGUAAAGAGCUUGUAGGCGGUCUGUCGCGUCUGCUGUGAAAAUCCGGGGCUCAACCCCGGACUUGCAGUGGGUACGGGCAGACUAGAGUGUGGUAGGGGAGACUGGAAUUCCUGGUGUAGCGGUGAAAUGCGCAGAUAUCAGGAGGAACACCGAUGGCGAAGGCAGGUCUCUGGGCCACUACUGACGCUGAGAAGCGAAAGCAUGGGGAGCGAACAGG